rnacentral:sRNA from 1 species
CUUUAGCCCUGAUGGAAGUGAAAAUCCUUUUGCUUUUUUCUUUAAAAAGCAAAAGAUUGAAGCGAACAGCAGGAACCCAU